AUUGAACGCUAGCGGCAUGCCUUACACAUGCAAGUCGAACGAGUGGCGGACGGGUGAGUAAUAUAUCGGAACGUGCCUGGUGGCGGGGGAUAACUACUGGAAACAGUGGCUAAUACCGCAUACUAUUGGCGCGGCCGAUAUCGGAUUAGCUAGUUGGUGGGGUAAAGGCUCACCAAGGCAACGAUCCGUAGCUGGUUUGAGAGGAUGACCAGCCACACUGGGACUGAGACACGGCCCAGACUCCUACGGGAGGCAGCAGUGGGGAAUUUUGGACAAUGGGGGAAAGCCUGAUCCAGCCAUCCCGCGUGUAUGAGAAGGCCUUCGGGUUGUAAAGUACUUUUGGCAGAGAGGCGGUAUCUGCAGAAUAAGCACCGGCUAACUACGUGCCAGCAGCCGCGGUAAUAC
rnacentral:rRNA from 1 species